rnacentral:rRNA from 1 species
AAAUUGAAGAGUUUGAUCAUGGCUCAGAUUGAACGCUGGCGGCAGGCCUAACACAUGCAAGUCGAACGGUAACAGGAAACAGCUUGCUGUUUCGCUGACGAGUGGCGGACGGGUGAGUAAUGUCUGGGAAACUGCCUGAUGGAGGGGGAUAACUACUGGAAACGGUAGCUAAUACCGCAUAACGUCGCAAGACCAAAGAGGGGGACCUUCGGGCCUCUUGCCAUCGGAUGUGCCCAGAUGGGAUUAGCUAGUAGGUGGGGUAAC